rnacentral:misc_RNA from 2 species
GAAAUGCGAUACGUAAUGUGAAUUGCAGAAUUCAGUGAAUCAUCGAAUCUUUGAACGCAUAUUGCGCUCUUUGGUAUUCCGAAGAGCAUGCUUGUUUGAGUAUCAGUAAACACCUCAAAGCUUUUGGAUUUUUUAAUCGAAAAGCUUUGGACUUGAGCAAUCCCAACACCAAUCUUUUUGAGAUCGGUGGCGGGUUGCUUGAAAUGCAGGUGCAGCUGGACAUUCUCCUGAGCUAAAAGCAUAUUCAUUUAGUCCCGUCAAACGGAUUAUUACUUUUGCUGCAGCUAACAUAAAGGGAGUUUGACCGUAUUGGCUGACUGAUGCAGGAUUUCACAAGGGUCGGCAACGAUUCUUGUUAAACUCGAUCUCAAAUCAAGUAAGACUACCCGCUGAACUUAA